ACCGUGAAAAAAUUAGAGUGUUCAAAGCGGGCAGAUAUUUUUCCUGCCACCGAAUACAUUAGCAUGGGAUAAUGGAAUAGGACCCUGACCUCCUAUUUUCAGUUGGUUUUGUUUACAGCGAGGUUAUAUCAGGGUAAUGAUUAAUAGGGAUAGUUGGGGGCAUUAAUAUUUAAUUGUCAGAGGUGAAAUUCUUGGAUUUAUGAAAGAUUAACUUCUGCGAAAGCGUUUGCCAAGGAUGUUUUCAUUAAUCAAGAACGAAAGUUAGGGGAUCGAAGACGAUCAGAUACCGUCGUAGUCUUAACCAUAAACGAUGCCGACCAGCGAUUAGGAGACGUUGAAUACAAAACACCGCCGUUAAUCCUUUCGGGGGUUAAUGGUUGGUGAAUGACUCCCCUAG
rnacentral:rRNA from 1 species